rnacentral:rRNA from 1 species
CCUACGGGAGGCAGCAGUAAGGAAUCUUCCACAAUGGACGAAAGUCUGAUGGAGCAACGCCGCGUGCAGGAUGAAGGCUUUCGGGUCGUAAACUGCUUUUAUAUGGGAAGAUUAUGACGGUACCAUAUGAAUAAGGACCGGCUAACUACGUGCCAGCAGCCGCGGUAAUACGUAGGGUCCAAGCGAUAUCCGGAAUUACUGGGCGUAAAGCGUGUGUAGGUGGAUUAAUAAGUGUGAUGCGAAAUCCGGCGGCUCAACCGUUUGGACUGUGUCGCAUACUGUUAGUCUAGAGGACGGCAGAGGUAAGUGGAAUUACGGGUGUAGCAGUGAAAUGCGUAGAUAUCCGUAGGAACACCAAUGGCGAAGGCAGCUUACUGGGCCACACCUGACACUGAGACACGAAAGCGUGGGGAGCGAACAGGAUUAGAUACCCUGGUAGUCCACGCCGUAAACGAUGCAUACUAUUAGUAUGGGGUAUCGACCCCCUGUGCUGAGAAGCUAACGCGAUAAGUAUGCCGCCUGGGGAGUACGAGCGCAAGCUUAAAACUUAAAUGAAUUGACGG